UACAGAGGCCUCGAGCGUUAGGCGGAAUUACUGGGCGUAAAGCGCACGUAGGCGGCUUUGCAAGUCAGAGGUGAAAGCCCGGGGCUCAACCCCGGAAUUGCCUUUGAGACUGCAUCGCUAGAAUUGUGGAGAGGUGAGUGGAAUUCCGAGUGUAGAGGUGAAAUUCGUAGAUAUUCGGAAGAACACCAGUGGCGAAGGCGACUCACUGGACACAUAUUGACGCUGAGGUGCGAAAGCGUGGGGAGCAAACAGG
rnacentral:rRNA from 1 species